rnacentral:tRNA from 1 species
GUGAGCAUAGUUCAGUUGGUAGAGCACUAGAUUGUGGUUCUAGUUGUCAAGGGUUCGAGUCCCUUUGCUCACC